rnacentral:tRNA from 1 species
GCCUGGGUGGCUCAGUCGGUUGAGCGCCCGACUUCAGCUUGGGUCAUGAUCUCACAGUCUGUGAGUUCGAGCCCCGCGUUGGGCU